CAGCACCUCAAGUGGUCAGGAUGAUUAUUGGGCCUAAAGCAUCCGUAGCCGGCUCUGUAAGUUUUCGGUUAAAUCUGUACGCUCAACGUGCAGGCUGCCGGGAAUACUGCAGAGCUAGGGAGUGGGAGAGGUAGACGGUACUCGGUAGGAAGGGGUAAAAUCCUUUGAUCUAUUGAUGACCACCUGUGGCGAAGGCGGUCUACCAGAACACGUCCGACGGUGAGGGAUGAAAGCUGGGGGAGCAAACCGGAUUAGAUACCCGAGUAGUCC
rnacentral:rRNA from 1 species